rnacentral:lncRNA from 1 species
GGAUCUGGAUCUCGGUGUCUCCAUGAAAAAUGUUUGUUUAUAUGUUUUCUAACACGUGUCCAAAUUUGAGAAUUUUUCGAUCUCAUAUGAGUGGGUUUCUGACUUCGAAUUUAGAAGAGCGUAGUUGGACUGUUUUAUGUGAAUUUGGGCUAGUAAGAAUGUAUGGUUGUUUUGAAAUAUUCUUGCUACGAAAUUGCUCAAUUGAUGCUGUGAAUGCUGUAUAAUUGAUUAUUGAAAUGUGACAUCGAUCAUAUGCAUUCACGACAUGAUUUCGUCACGUGCCUUUGGGCCGGACGAUGCUCUUUCGGGAAUGCCCCACGUCAACGGAUGCCGGUCGCAGUGGAGGC